rnacentral:lncRNA from 1 species
GUGUGUGUGUCAAGAUGGGAUUGACCACUCCAGUUCAGGAGCUGUGUACAGUCGUGUUUCAAUUUAGCAAAAUCUUGACCAGGGUAGUCCUAGUGAGGAGUCACAGGACUGUUUGAGUUGAGCACAAUUCGGAUGAUCUGAUCAGGGUUGACAGUUUAAUCUUGAGUCAUCCUAUACACAGGGGUCAAAAGAGAUGAAUU